rfam:Syntrophus aciditrophicus SB, complete genome.
AGCCGGGCCCCGUGCAACGACGGCGUGUGAACCCCGCCAGGUCCGGAAGGAAGCAGCGGUAGCAAUGUCCGGCGUGUGCUGCGGAUCAGCCUGGCUAUC